CUUUAACUGGCUGAGUCCGCCCCCGGGUCCGAGGGCGACCACGUGCUACGGCGUGCAUUGCUAGAGAAUGACCCAUUGGAGACGUUUCUUCUGUAGGAAAUUCCUACAAAUCUGUAAGAGGUGAUGGCGUCUAGUGUACAAGCGGAGGACCCAUGGUAACAGGGGUAGUGUUCCCACAGUGACCAGAGGAGAGCAGAGUCUAUGGAUGGGUAAGAACGGCCCGAUGAAGUUAUCUUCUGGUUGCUUCUAUUGUCUCAGUAAAAUAUGACAUGAAAUCAUCAGGAAUGGGUAUAGCAUAUUGGAGAUUGAAGAGAAAAUGGGAUAAAAUUGUGGAAGGGUGAAUGGAUUAGAGGAAUGUAUUCAGACAGCAGUGCCUCCUUGAGACUUGGGGACUUUGGGGACCUAUAUUUAAAGUGAGACUCUGGACUUCAUGGUGAUCCAGUGGUUAAGAAUCUGCCUGCCAAUGCAGGGGACAAGGGUUCCAUCCCUGGUCUAGGAAGAUCCCACAUGCUGCGGAGCAACUAAGCCCACAGCUACUGAGCCCGUGCUCAGGAUUUGGUCUCCACAUCAAGAGAAGCCAGACCUGAGAAGCCAGAGCACAGCAACUGGAGAGGAGCCCCGCCUCUCCCCUAGAGCCCGCACUCAGCAACAAAUACCCAGCAUAGCCAAAAAAUAGAAUAAAUAAAAUUUUUUUUAAAAAGUGA